rnacentral:ncRNA from 1 species
GUGUUCGUAAGAAGGAGAGAUGGUUGGCAUCUCCCCCGAUAGGGAUGGGAACAACUUUUGAGCUUGCCUGCUUAAGAGGCUACCCGCUUUGGGGGAUCUAUAACCCAAAUUAC